CAGUCGCCGCGGUAAUACGUAGGGUGCAAGCGUUAAUCGGAAUUACUGGGCGUAAAGCGUGCGCAGGCGGUCCGCUAAGACAGAUGUGAAAUCCCCGGGCUUAACCUGGGAACUGCAUUUGUGACUGGCGGGCUAGAGUAUGGCAGAGGGGGGUAGAAUUCCACGCGUAGCAGUGAAAUGCGUAGAGAUGAGGAGGAAUACCGAUGGCGAAGGCAGCCCCCUGGGCCAAUACUGACGCUCAUGCACGAAAGCGUGGGGAGCAAACAGGAUUAGAUACCCGCGUAGUCCCUGUCUCUUAUAC
rnacentral:rRNA from 1 species